rnacentral:sRNA from 2 species
CAGCAACAUCAUCACAGCUGCCUUUUCUGAGGCUCUCUCUGAGGCUACUACCCUGCAUCAGCUCGGUUUUCCUCCUCUGUUUUAGCUGUGUAAUUGCAAAUAUGAACAUCCUCCUCCCACCUGUAACUUCCAUGAGUCUCAACAUAUUCCUUGUCACACUUUCUUAGAUAGACUUGAUAGUGCUUGAUGCAGUAAGAUAUCUCAGUUUUAACACUGGAAUCAACAUUGUUGUUGGUGAAAAAGUCACAGAGAGCGGCUUCUGUUUCAAACAUGGCGAAUUCUGUCUUUUCUAUAACUAGAAAUUAUGGCUCCACCUCUGUCAAGCUGGACU